GGUGAGUGAGUAGGUGAGUGAGUAGGUGAGUAGGUGAGUGAGUCUGGCUCCCCUACGGACAGGCUCACAGCUACUGUGAGGAGUGUGUAGGUGAGUGAGUAGGUGAGUGAGUGAGUGAGUAGGUGAGUGAGUAGGUGAGUGAGUGAGUGAGUAGGUGAGUGAGUAGGUGAGUGAGUGAGUAGGUGAGUGAGUAGGUGAGUAGGUGAGUGAGUCUGGCUCCCCUACGGACAGGCUCACAGCUACUGUGAGGAGUGUGUAGGUGAGUGAGUAGGUGAGUGAGUAGGUGAGUGAGUAGGUGAGUAGGUGAGUGAGUAGGUGAGUGAGUAGGUGAGUGAGUCUGGCUCCCCUACGGACAGGCUCACAGCUACUGUGAGGAGUGUGUAGGUGAGUGAGUGAGUGAGUAGGUGAGUGAGUGAGUGAGUAGGUGAGUGAGUCUGGCUCCCCUACGGACAGGCUCACAGCUACUGUGAGGAGUGUGUAGGUGAGUGAGUGAGUGAGUAGGUGAGUGAGUAGGUGAGUGAGUGAGUGAGUAGGUGAGUGAGUAGGUGAGUUAGUGAGUAGGUGAGUGAGUAGAUGAGUAGGUGAGUGAGUCUGGCUCCCCUACGGACAGGCUCACAGCUACUGUGAGGAGUGUGUAGGUGAGUGAGUAGGUGAGUGAGUGAGUGAGUAGGUGAGUGAGUGAGUAGGUGAGUGAGUAGGUGAGUAGGUGAGUGAGUCUGGCUCCCCUACGGACAGGCUCACAGCUGCUGUGAGGAGUGUGUAGGUGAGUGAGUAGGUGAGUGAGUGAGUGAGUGAGUAGGUGAGUGAGUAGGUGAGUGAGUGAGUGAGUAGGUGAGUGAGUAGGUGAGUGAGUAGGUGAGUAGGUGAGUGAGUCUGGCUCCCCUACGGACAGGCUCACAGCUACUGUGAGGAGUGUGUAGGUGAGUGAGUAGGUGAGUGAGUGAGUGAGUAGGUGAGUGAGUAGGUGAGUGAGUAGGUGAGUAGGUGAGUGAGUCUGGCUCCCCUACGGACAGGCUCACAGCUACUGUGAGGAGUGUGUAGGUGAGUGAGUAGGUGAGUUAGUAGGUGAGUGAGUAGGUGAGUGAGUAGGUGAGUGAGUAGGUGAG